rnacentral:rRNA from 1 species
UACGAAGGGUGCAAGCGUUGCUCGGAAUUAUUGGGCGUAAAGGGUAGGUAGGUGGUCUUGUUUGUCUGGGGUGAAAUCCUUGGGCUUAACCUAAGAAGUGCCUCGGAAACGGCAAGACUAGAGUCCUAGAGAGGGUCGUGGAAUUCCCGGUGUAGCGGUGAAAUGCGUAGAGAUCGGGAGGAACACCAGAGGCGAAGGCGGCGACCUGGAUAGGUACUGACACUCAACUACGAAAGCGUGGGGAGCAAACAGG